GUCUAGUGGCGAACGGGUGCUUAACACGUGGGCAACCUGCCAUGAAGUGGGGGAUAGCUCGCCGAAAGGCGAAUUAAUACCGCAUGUGAUUAGAGAGGGCAUCCUUUCGAAAUUAAAGUCGGGGCAACCUGACGCUUCUUGUGGGGCCCGCGGCCUAUCAGCUAGUUGGUGAGGUAACGGCUCACCAAGGCUUUGACGGGUAGCUGGUCUGAGAGGACGACCAGCCACACUGGGACUGAGACACGGCCCAGACACCUACGGGUGGCAGCAGUCGAGAAUUUUUGACAAUGGGGGAAACCCUGAUCGAGCGACGCCGCGUGGAGGAUGAAGGUCUUCGGAUUGUAAACUCCUGUCAUUGGGGAACAAGGUGCAUACGUUAACUGCGUGUGCAUUGAUAGUACCCGAAGAGGAAGAGACGGCUAACUCUGUGCCAGCAGCCGCGGUAAUACAGAGGUCUCAAGCGUUGUUCGGAUUCAUUGGGCGUAAAGGGUGCGUAGGCGGCGCGGUAAGUCGGGUGUGAAAUCUCGGAGCUUAACUCCGAAACUGCAUUCGAUACUGCCGUGCUUGAGGACUGGAGAGGAGACUGGAAUUUACGGUGUAGCGGUGAAAUGCGUAGAUAUCGUAAGGAAGACCAGUGGCGAAGGCGGGUCUCUGGACAGUUCCUGACGCUGAGGCACGAAGGCCAGGGGAGCAAACGGGAUUAGAUACCCCGGUAGUCCUGGCAGUAAACGGUGCACGUUUGGUGUGGGAGGAUUCGACCCCUUCUGCGCCGGAGCUAACGCGUUAAACGUGCCGCCUGGGGAGUACGGUCGCAAGAUUAAAACUCAAAGAAAUUGACGGGGGCCCGCACAAGCGGUGGAGUAUGUGGCUCAAUUCGAUGCAACGCGAAGAACCUUACCAGGCCUUGACAUGCAUCUCUAAGUUGGUGAAAGCCAGCGAGUCCCGCAAGGGACAAUUUGCACAGGUGCUGCAUGGCUGUCGUCAGCUCGUGUCGUGAGAUGUUGGGUUAAGUCCCGCAACGAGCGCAACCCCUGUGAACUGUUGCCACCGAGCCGUGAGGCUCGAGCACUCUGUUCAGACUGCCCCGCUUUAACGGGGAGGAAGGUGGGGACGACGUCAAGUCAGUAUGGCCCUUACGGCCUGGGCUGCACACGUACUACAAUGCCCAGUACAGAACGAUCCAAGACCGCAAGGUGGAGGAAAUCACUAAAACUGGGCCCAGU
rnacentral:rRNA from 1 species